AGUCAUAUGCUUGUCUCAAAGAUUAAGCCAUGCAUGUCUAAGUAUAAAUAACUACACAGUAAAACUGCGAAUGGCUCAUUAAAACAGUUAUAGUUUAUUUGAUACAUUUUAAAUGGAUAACUGUAGAAACACUAGAGCUAAUACAUGCCAAGACCGUAAGGUUGUAUUUAUUAGAUAUUCCAAGUAGGUGAAUCAUAAUAACUUCGCAAAUCUCAGUUAUACUGAGAUAAACCAUUCAAGUUUCUGCCCUAUCAUGCUCUCGAUGGUAGUGUAUUGGACUACCAUGGCUCUCACGGGUAACGGGGAAUUAGGGUUCGAUUCCGGAGAAGGAGCCUGAGAAACGGCUACUACAUCUAAGGAAGGCAGCAGGCGCGUAAAUUACCCAAUUCUGAUUCAGAGAGGUAGUGACAAGAAAUAACGGGUCGGGAUUAUGUCCCGGGACUGCAAUGAGAUGAAUUUAUACCCCUUUUCGAGUAACAAU
rnacentral:rRNA from 1 species